rnacentral:rRNA from 1 species
CAAUAGCGUAUAUUAAAGUUGUUGCGGUUAAAAAGCUCGUAGUUGGAUCUCGGCAGGCAGGGGGUGGUUCGCUCUUAGCGCUACUGCCCCAUUUGCCUGUGUGAUUGGCGGAGGUUUCGGGGUGCUCUUCGUUGAGUGACCCGGGGCGCCGUCAGGUUUACUUUGAAAAAAUUAGAGUGCUCAAAGCAGGCUUUUCACGCUUGAAUAUUCGUGCAUGGAAUAAUGGAAUAGGAACUCGUUUCUAUUUUGUUGGUUUUCGGAAAUCGAGUUAAUGAUUAAUAGGGACAAUUGGGGGCAUUAGUAUUCAGACGACAGAGGUGAAAUUCUUGGACCGUCUGAAGACUAACUACUGCGAAAGCAUUUGCCAAGAGUGUCUUCAUUAA